GACAGAGGUCCCGAGCGUUAGGCGGAAUCACUGGGCUUAAAGCGUGUGUAGGCGGAUGCCUAAGUACCUUGUGAAAUCCCACGGCUUAACCCGUGGAACUGCUUGGUAUACUGGGUGUCUUGAGCCACUUAGGGGCGAGCGGAACAAACGGUGGAGCGGUGAAAUGCGUAGAUAUCGUUUGGAACGCCAAUGGUGAAAACAGCUCGCUGGGAGUGCGCUGACGCUGAGACACGAAAGCCAGGGGAGCGAACGGG
rnacentral:rRNA from 1 species